rnacentral:rRNA from 1 species
UGAAAGCCUGACGGAGCACGCCGCGUGAGGGAUGAAGGCCUCUGGGCUGUAAACCUCUUUUCUCAAGGAAGAAGAUCUGACGGUACUUGAGGAAUAAGCCACGGCUAAUUCCGUGCCAGCAGCCGCGGUAAUACGGGAGUGGCAAGCGUUAUCCGGAAUUAUUGGGCGUAAAGCGUCCGCAGGCGGUUCUGUAAGUCUGCCGUUAAAGCGUGGAGCUUAACUCCAUUUCGGCGGUGGAAACUGCAGGACUUGAGUGUGGUAGGGGCAGAGGGAAUUCCCGGUGUAGUGGUGAAAUGCGUAGAUAUCGGGAAGAACACCAGUGGCGAAAGCGCUCUGCUGGGCCAUAACUGACGCUCAUGGACGAAAGCCAGGGGAGCG